UGCGAAGUGGAGGACAAAUAGGUGUGCAGUAUGUCGAUGGGUUGGAGAUUGAGACUUCAACAAAAUUAUUAUUUCUAUUAGGUGGAGUGGUGUUAUCCGGGAAUAAACGAUUAAGAGUAAAGCAACAUAUUUUAUAUAUUCUUUAUCGUAAUCAUCUGGAAGGGUUUCCAUAUAAAUCCAACUAUCCAAGGAAACUUAGCUUCUUGCCUCGUCGUCAACACCUUGACUCACCCACCCUGCAAGAGCAACUACCUCCGACUUGGAUCCUUCGGUGCGAGAUGAAUUGCACGAGGAAAUAAGGAAUUAAGGGAGGAAUUAAACUAGAGAUUUGUAACUUAUAAAAACUUUUUUGCUCCAUAUUUUGGUUGUUGAACUAAAUUACCUUCUGGUUUAUCUAUUACAAUUUUCUAUU